rnacentral:rRNA from 1 species
GUUGUAUGGUUAAGUGACUAAGCGUACACGGUGGAUGCCUUGGCAGUCAGAGGCGAUGAAGGACGUAUUAACUUGCGAUAAGCCCAGAUUAGACAGUAAAAGUCAUUUGAGUCUGGGAUU